rnacentral:misc_RNA from 1 species
AGCCUCUAUAUGUCAAUUUGGUAUUGUUGAGCAUUUACAUGUUGAUGAAUCUCACUAGAGCGAGCGGUUGAUGAAGUCAAGCAAGAAAAGCUUGAGGAAGAUAUGUUGGGGAACAAAGAGGAUCAAGCCAUGGAGACCUUGAAGACUCCAAUGGAAAUUGAAGGUUUUUAAAAUUCUCUUGUUCCUAUUGAAUCAAAGAGUUUUUCAACCGUUGUUUUGGUUGAUUUUCUAUGUUCAGAUGUUUUCAAGGUCGCAAAGAAAGGCAUGAAGUUCUUUGUUUCAAGUUCAUUGCUAUUAUCCAAGAAGAUAAAGUUCCUUCUUCAAAUUAAGUUCCUAAUUCUUCCGUAUUUCAAAACUCAACGUUGAGUUUCCUCCAGCAAGGGCAGAAUGAUUGAUUAUAGGAAG